rnacentral:rRNA from 1 species
ACGAGGAGGACCCACCCGUACCCAUUCCGAACACGGAAGUUAAGCUCCUUAGUGCCGAAGAUACUUGGUUGGUGACGACCCGGGAAAAUAGGUCUGUGCC